rnacentral:rRNA from 1 species
CCGGCCUGAGAGGGCGACCGGCCACAUUGGGACUGAGAUACGGCCCAGACUCCUACGGGAGGCAGCAGUGGGGAAUAUUGCACAAUGGGCGCAAGCCUGAUGCAGCGACGCCGCGUGCGGGAUGACGGCCUUCGGGUUGUAAACCGCUUUUGAUCGGGAGCAAGCCUUCGGGUGAGUGUACCUUUCGAAUAAGCACCGGCUAACUACGUGCCAGCAGCCGCGGUAAUACGUAGGGUGCAAGCGUUAUCCGGAAUUAUUGGGCGUAAAGGGCUCGUAGGCGGUUCGUCGCGUCCGGUGUGAAAGUCCAUCGCUUAACGGUGGAUCUGCGCCGGGUACGGGCGGGCUGGAGUGCGGUAGGGGAGACUGGAAUUCCCGGUGUAACGGUGGAAUGUGUAGAUAUCGGGAAGAACACCAAUGGCGAAGGCAGGUCUCUGGGCCGUUACUGACGCUGAGGAGCGAAAGCGUGGGGAGCGAACAGGAUUAGAUACCCUGGUAGUCCACGCCGUAAACGGUGGAUGCUGGAUGUGGGGCCCGUUCCACGGGUUCCGUGUCGGAGCUAACGCGUUAAGCAUCCCGCCUGGGGAGUACGGCCGCAAGGCUAAAACUCAAAGAAAUUGACGGGGGCCCGCACAAGCGGCGGAGCAUGCGGAUUAAUUCGAUGCAACGCGAAGAACCUUACCUGGGCUUGACAUGUUCCCGACAGCCGUAGAGAUAUGGCCUCCCUUCGGGGCGGGUUCACAGGUGGUGCAUGGUCGUCGUCAGCUCGUGUCGUGAGAUGUUGGGUUAAGUCCCGCAACGAGCGCAACCCUCGCCCUGUGUUGCCAGCACGUCAUGGUGGGAACUCACGGGGGACCGCCGGGGUCAACUCGGAGGAAGGUGGGGAUGACGUCAGAUCAUCAUGCCCCUUACGUCCAGGGCUUCACGCAUGCUACAAUGGCCGGUACAACGGGAUGCGACACGGCGACGUGGAGCGGAUCCCUGAAAACCGGUCUCAGUUCGGAU